rnacentral:lncRNA from 1 species
GUGAGUUAGGAGGGCUUUUCUGUCCUUGACCCAGCAUGUUUGUUUCCAGUGUCCUUCAAGACGAUGGAUGAUUUUCGCCUCCUGGCUCUGUAAGAGGGCCCAAGAAACACUGCGUCCUUGAGAACAGUUAUGGGGUGAACUAUUUCCAACAAAGGAUGCUGUUGUUUAUCCCAUAAUAUAAAAUGCCUAGGUUGGGAAUGAGAAGGCUGAAGCUUACCUGGGGAGUGAACGUCCUGCUUUGCUAGGAAGUCACACUUGGGAUCUCCAGUGCGACGGCUGCAGCAGGGCUUCCCAGUGGUGUCGGCCGGAUGGUGACAGGAGUCUAGCAUGGCUGUCUUCUGAGAGGCUCCACCCAGCAGCUGAUGCAGAGGCUCUCAGCCAAACAGCAGAUGGAGCUUGGGUGCUCUUAUGGAAGAACAGGAGCCUCUAAGGGGAUGGGAGCUCCACGGGAAGAUGAGCAGAGUCAACUAACCUGGACCGACACCUGGGGGCUCUCAGAGACUGAACCGUCAACCAAAGAACAUACAGGGCUGGACCUAGGCCUCCCCACACAUAUGUAGCAGAUGUGCAGCUUGGUCUUCAUGUGGUUCCCAAAAAGCUGCAAUGGGGGCUGUCCCAAAAGCUGUUGCCUGCCUGUGGGAUAUGGGCUGCCUUGUCUGGUCAUAGUGGGAAAGGAUGCACCUAGCCUUACAGAAAUUUGAUGUGCUAAGGUGGGAGGAUACCCAGGAGGGCCCCAACCCCAUCAGAGGAGACAACAAGGUAGGAUGGGGGAAGAAUUGUGAGAGUGGGUGACCGGAGGGAGGCAGGCAAUGAGCAGGAUGUAAAGUGAAUAAGUUAAAAAAAAAAAAAAAGAUCUGGCGGUAAGGCAUUUUCUUAAUUAGUGAUUAAUGGGGGAGGGUGCAGCCCACUGUGAGUGGUGCCAUCCCUGGGUUGGUGGUCCUGGGUGCUAUAAGAACGCAGGCUGAGCAAGCCAUGGGAAGCAAGCCAGGAAGUGGCACCCUUUCAUGGCUUCUGCAUCAGCUCCUGCCUCCAGGUUCCUGCCCUGCUUGAGUUCUUGUUCUGACUUCCUUAGGUGAUGAACAGCAAUGUGGAAAGUGUAAGCUGAAUAAACCCUUUCCUCCCCGUG